rnacentral:lncRNA from 1 species
GCCCAUGGGAAGCCAGUGUUCCUCUGGGUGCUCGUUGGGUGCAAGGAUGCACGUUGGGUUUGAGGGUGACCAUCAGGUCUAACAGUGCCCAUUGGGUGCUCGUUGGGUGGAAGGGUGGAAGGGUGCUCAUUGGGUGCCCGUUGGGUUUGGGGGUGCUCAUUGGGUGCCAUUGGGUUCAGGAUGUCCAUUGGGUGCCCGUUGAGUUUGGGGGUGCCUGUUGGGUGCGGGGGGGGGUGACCAUUGGGUGCCCAUUGGGUGCCAGGGUGGCUGUUGGGUUUGAGGGUGACCAUUGGGUGCCAGGGUGGCUGUUGGGUGCCCAUGGGGAGCCAGGGUUCCUCUGGGUGCCCACUGGGUGCCAGGGUGCCCAUUGGGUGCCAGGGUUCCUCUGGGUGCCCAUUGGGUGCCAGGGUGGCUGUUGGGUAUGAGGGUGACCAUUGGGUGCCCAUUGGGUGCCAGGGUGGUGUUGGGUGCCCAUGGGGAGCCAGGGUCCACGUUGGGUUUGAGGGUGCCCAUUGGGUGCCAGGGUGGCUGUUGGGUGCCCAUGGGGAGCCAAGAUUCCUCUGGGUGCCCAUUGGGUGCCAGGGUGCACAUUGG